CCCUUAGAUGUUCUGGGCAGCACGCGCGCUACAAUGGUCUUCGCAAACGGAUGCAUUCUCGAAGGAGAAUGCCAAUCUUGGAAUCUAUGCCUUGGUCGGGACAGUUGCUUGCAAUUUUUCGACUCGAACCAGGAAUUCCUUGUAAUCGUGAUUCAUCACAUCACGAUGAAUACGUCCCUGCCCUUUGUACACACCGCCCGUCGCUCCUACCGAUCGAAGAGUUAGGUGAAUUGUUUUGAUCGAUAAGAUUUGACUAUGGUUAACUCUCGUUGGGAAAUUCUGUGAAUCUGACUGUUUAGAGGAAGGAAAAGUCGUAACA
rnacentral:rRNA from 1 species